UACGGAGGGUGCAAGCGUUAUCCGGAUUUAUUGGGUUUAAAGGGUGCGUAGGCGGUUCUAUAAGUCAGUGGUGAAAUAUUCCGGCUCAACCGGGAGACUGCCAUUGAUACUGUAGAGCUGGAAUUUGGUUGCUGUGGGUGGAAUGUGUGGUGUAGCGGUGAAAUGCUUAGAGAUCACACAGAAUAUCGAUUGCGAAGGCAGCUCACAAAGCCAAUAUUGACGCUGAUGCACGAAAGUGUGGGGAUCAAACAGGAUUAGAUACCCUGGUAGUCCACACUGUAAACGAUGAUAACUCGCUGUCGGCGAUACACCGUCGGUAGCCAAGCGAAAGCGAUAAGUUAUCCACCUGGGGAGUACGACCGCAAGGUUGAA
rnacentral:rRNA from 1 species